rnacentral:lncRNA from 1 species
CCCAUGCCUGGAGCUGAGGCCAGAUGUGGAAGGCUCACAGGAUCCACAAGGGAGCUACUUGUGCAGGGCUCACUCUCGACUCCUUCCCACGGCUCCACAAACCAACGUGUCCAACUCAGCUUUCCAGGGCUUCAUUACAAGGUUACCUGGGCAGAGCAGGGAGAGACCAGAGGAGACAAU